UACGGAGGGAGCUAGCGUUGUUCGGAAUUAUUGGGCGUAAAGCGCGUGUAGGCGGCUUUGCAAGUCGGGUGUGAAAGCCCUCAGCUUAACUGAGGAAGUGCGCCCGAAACUGCAGAGCUUGAGUACCGGAGAGGAUGGCGGAAUUCCCCAAGUAGAGGUGAAAUUCGUAGAUAUGGGGAGGAACACCGGUGGCGAAGGCGGCCAUCUGGACGGAUACUGACGCUGAGACGCGAAAGCGUGAGUAGCAAACAGG
rnacentral:rRNA from 1 species